GCUUCCCCUCACCCUAUUCCCAACGACAGUUCCAGCUUCUCCCACACGCCGGCCCAUCCGAAAUCCCGCGCGAGCAGUUCAGCUCCUCCCUCGCUCGCCGGUUUCGUGUGCGGCCUCCGCACCCCUUCGCCAUCGGGUCAGCUACUCGGGCGCAGGCUUCGCAUCCGCUCUACCCCAUCUUGACUGUCGACGCGCGACGUCGCGGCCGUAUCUCCGCGCGCGCAGGCAUCCCGCAACGCUGCCGGCCGUCGGGAGUCGGGCGUCGGUCGCCGGGCGCCGGGCGCCGGCUCGCCUGCCGUCGCCCCGCCCCCAGACCGGCCCUGCUACCCUGUGCGGCUGUGCUGCGCAACUUCCGGCGAACCGCCACCGCAGCUGCUACUCGCCGGCUCGCUCCCCGACCGGGGAUAGGACCGCCUAUCGCUGGCCCGCGCACCCAAGCGCCGCUGGUCCCGCGUGCCGCCGCCCUCGCCGGCCUGCGCGCUGCCGCCUUGCUGGUCCCGCACACCGCCGCCUUGCAGGCUCAGCUGGAACCGCGCGCCACCGCAGCCUCCGCUCCCGCCGGCCAUCGCUGGCCUUGGCACCGUCGUGUCCUCCACUCCUCCUCCCCGGCUAGCCUGCGCGCCGAAGGCCCGAGCCCGCCUCGCAAUCGCCACGGCCGCGGUGCCUCCGGCAAGCGGACGGUGGCCGCGGCCGCCGCGAACUGCCCUCGCGGCCUCGUGGCAACGGCUGCACGCACCGACCCCGACGUGCAGCUCCGCCUGGUGAUUUUAACAACCCUCCGACGCGAGAAACUGCCCUCGCUCCCGGCGUGCAGCGGACGUCUUCCAAAGGUACAUUCAGGUGGCAAGGUAGAGUUGAAGAGAAGAGGAAGCGUGCACUGGACAGAUAGCUCUUGACAAGGACUGUUAAAGGAAUCUAUGGAAACAAACUGUUCUCGUGCUCCAUUUGGCGAAUUAACAAACCUCUCUAAUGCAGUAGAGGCUGAGAGCGCACUCAAUUCACAGUCAGCAAACAAUGAUAAAAAGCAACGUAAGCGGGAAAGGGAAAGAGCAAGGUAUGCUUCAAUGUCUCAAGAACAGAAGAAUGCAAGAAACCUGAGGCAGCGUGAAGCGCGUAAAAAAAAGAAAGAAUGUCAGAAUUCCAUGGAAACAAACUGUUCUCGUGCUCCAUUUGGUGAUUUGACAAACUACACUAAUGGAGGAGCUGACAGUGCAUCCAAUUCACUGUCAGCAGACAAUAAUGCUAAGCACCGUAAGCGGGAAAGGGAUAGAGCAAGGUAUGCAACAAUGUCUCAAGAAGAGAAGGAUGCAAUAUGUCUGAGGUAGCGUGAAGUGCGUCAAAAAAAGAAAGGAGACUGACGUGUUACAUAUUUGUGGUGUUACAAAUACAUUACCUGUAAUUUGGAUGGGUCAAGAUCACAGGGAUCUUACAAAUUAGUUGGACCUUUAAACACUUCUACAUGCUUUGUAACAUUUUCUCAUAUAUUUCUACUCUGGUAUUAGAGUAUGUAUGGUUGUCAUAAUAUCUCUACAA